rnacentral:rRNA from 1 species
GGGUGAGUAACGCGUGGGCAACCUGCCCUGUACCGGGGGACAACAGCCAGAAAUGGCUGCUAAUACCGCAUAAGCCUGCUGUGCCGCAUGGCACAGCAGGGAAAACCACGGUGGUACAGGAUGGGCCCGCGUCUGAUUAGUUAGUUGGCAGGGUAACGGCCUACCAAGACAACGAUCAGUAGCCGGCUUGAGAGAGUGGACGGCCACAUUGGGACUGAGACACGGCCCAGACUCCUGCGGGAGGCAGCAGUGGGGAAUAUUGCACAAUGGGGGGAACCCUGAUGCAGCAAUGCCGCGUGGGUGAAGAAGCACUCCGGUGCGUAAAGCCCUGUCAGCAGGGAAGAAAAUGACAGUACCUGGACAAGAAGCCCCGGCUAACUACGUGCCAGCAGCCGCGGUAAUACGUAGGGGGCAAGCGUUAUCCGGAUUUACUGGGUGUAAAGGGAGCGCAGGCGGCGUGGCAAGUCAGAUGUGAAAACCCGGGGCCCAACCCCGGGAGUGCAUUUGAAACUGCCAUGCUGGAGUGCCGGAGAGGUAAGCGGAAUUCCUAGUGUAGCGGUGAAAUGCGUAGAUAUUAGGAGGAACACCAGUGGCGGAGGCGGCUUACUGGACGGUAACUGACGCUGAGGCUCGAAAGCGUGGGGAGCAAACAGGAUUAGAUACCCUGGUAGUCCACGCCGUAAACGAU